GUGAAAACAGUUAAAGCGGAACUAUUUUGUUUCUUUUCUUUUGUACCUGAUCAUCUCCGUCCACCGCACGGCCUCCUGCAGCUCCAUCAGCCGCUCCUUGUACUGGUUCCUCUCCAUCAGCACUCUGGCCAUUUCCACUCUGGUGAAGCGCUUCCUCUGAGCUGUGGGUACGUCACCCUGUGGCAGCACACCAUGCAAAGCUUGCUCUUGGCCUGCAGCACGGCCUCCAGCUCCCCCUGCAGCAGCUCCUUCUCACAGGUCAGCUCGUCCACCUUCAGGAUCAGGUCUUUGUUCACCACGUUCAAGGCAUUCCUGCACCCAACAGGCGUCGUUCAGGGUUUGUGCUUAUGAAUCAACGGGACAACAAACCAGGAACUCACUUUGUCUCCAGCAGCUGUGAAUUCUCUUGAAUGAGAUUCUCAACUUCCCGGCCCAUUCCUGAUGGGAGAGGAAACGUCAUAAAAACAACCACAAAUACCAGCAGCUGUGACUACUCUAUGGAGUUAGAUUUGGUGCAAAAGUGUCUGCCGUCUGUAAAAAGGUUUUGUACUUGAUGAAAAAAAUUGUCUGUUGAUAAAAAAGGAUUUUUGUACAUAUAAUAAAAAAUUAGUGCAUCUGGAAACUGUUUUGUAACUACAGAAAAAAUGUUCGAAAUGCUUUGCCUGUGAGUGAAAAAUAAAAGACGGAAUAUCGAGUGAUAUCAUUAGAAAUAAUAGCAAUUAGGGGUGUAACAGAACCCUAAUAAUAAUAACUAUUUUUAAGCAUUCUUUUCUCUCAGUUUUUGUAGAUUAAUCUCUAGAUAUGGAAAUGAAAUCCGAAACCGCACAUGUUUUAGCAUUUUGUCUGUGUUCAAAGUAGAAAUUGGUUUUGUUUCUAUAAAUAGGCCUCAAUGACCAAAUUGUUUGUGCAAUAUAUGAAUGUAUAUGUAUAUAUUCAAAAAGUUAAUUUUAGGCUUUAAACAUUGUUUUUUCCUGUUUUUUCUUUUUUUACGGAUCAGAAAGAUGAUCCAAACCAUGACCCUACAACUGUGAUGCGAUCCAAACCAUGAGUUUUGUAGUUCAUUACAUCCUUGAAAACAAUCACCCCCCCUCCUUUUUUUUUUUUUGUCAUAUUGAAAUAUGUCACUUACCAUAUUUUGAUAUCUUCCAUCAUUUUAUCUUUUUUUUUGUCGAUGUAUUCUUUUUUUUCCUGGCAUGAAAUAUCUUGCAUCUAAUUGGCUGGUUCAAGCAGCGCACCGAUUGGGUGACAACUUAAGGCAGCUGAUUGGUUGAUUUGUUGAGGAGCACAAGAUUUAUACUUAAAAACAUGGGUUCAGUUAGAAUUGAUCAAUGUAUGCGUCUGUUUGUGUGUGUGAUGGAUUUUUAGGAACUGACAAUUUUUUCCAGUUUUACAGACGAGCCAAUUCCUUUUAUCAGAUGUGCAAAAGUUUUUUACGGAUAGACAAUUUCUUUUUGACAAGUACAAGUUUUGACAAUUUCUAAAUGUUUUACAUACACACAAAACUCCUAUUCCAACUACAAAACUCUUUCACAGAUUGACAAUACUUUUGCAACACAGCAAGCUUCAUAGCACUGACUACAUGCUAAGAACAACGUCUAAACAGCACAACUUCAUGACCAUCUAAUGAGAUGAUUCUUACUACAGACUAAGGACAGCAAAUCCACGUCACAUGACUGAUAGGAGGAGAAUGAGGGAGCAGGUGGAGUCUUACCAAUCAAACUAAGGUCUGACAAAACCAUGCAAUCCGAGUCAGGCGGACAGAGCAAGGAGGAGGGAAGAGAGAGAAAGAGAAAUGCAGAUAUCGUUUGAGACAGUGGAAUGAUCCAAAUGACAAAAACAGCUAACGGUUUAGCUUUUGGCUCCACGAGGCUAACAGAGGAGCUGCAUCCAAAACCUCUAAGGACAACCACUGCAGGAGAAGGGGGCAACAAAAAAUGUGUGCAAGGAAUCUGAGCAGCAGCAGAGGACGCAUCCCGCCUCAAUUAAAAAAAAAAAGCAGCUUAAAGAUGUGCAUUACUCUCAAA
rnacentral:lncRNA from 1 species